rnacentral:tRNA from 1 species
UCCCUGGUGGUCCAACAGGUAACACUCUGUGCUCCCAAUAUAGAGGCUCCGGGUUCAAUCCCUGACCAGGGAA